AACUUUCAACAACGGAUCUCUUGGUUCUGGCAUCGAUGAAGAACGCAGCGAAAUGCGAUAAGUAAUGUGAAUUGCAGAAUUUAGUGAAUCAUCGAAUCUUUGAACGCACAUUGCGCCCCUCGGUAUUCCGGGGGGCAUGCCUGUUCGAGCGUCA
rnacentral:rRNA from 1 species